rnacentral:snRNA from 1 species
UAAAUGAGGACUCUUGUCAGC